GACGAACCGUCCAAACGUUAUUCGGAAUCACUGGGCUUAAAGGGUGCGUAGGCUGUCCGGUAAGUUGGGUGUGAAAGCCCUCGGCUCAACCGAGGAAUUGCGCCCAAAACUGUCGGGCUGGAGGGAGAUAGAGGUGAGCGGAACUAAGGGUGGAGCGGUGAAAUGCGUUGAUAUCCUUAGGAACACCAGUAGCGAAAGCGGCUCACUGGGUCUCUUCUGACGCUGAGGCACGAAAGCUAGGGGAG
rnacentral:rRNA from 1 species